UGGGGAAUAUUAGUAAUGGGCCAAAGCCUGAACUAGCAACACCGCGUGUGCGAAGAAGGCCUUCGGGUUGUAAAGCACUUUUUGAGAGGAUGAGGAAGGACGGUACUCUCAGAAUAAGUCUCGGCUAACUACGUGCCAGCAGCCGCGGUAACACGUAGGAGGCGAACGUUAUCCGGAUUUACUGGGCGUAAAGCGCUUGUAGGUGGUUCUGUAAGUAGGGCGUGAAAGCUCCUGGCUCAACUGGGAGAGGCCGUUCUAAACUACAGAACUAGAGGAUGGUAGAGGGAGGUGGAAUUCCAGGUGUAGCGGUGGAAUGCGCAGAUAUCUGGAGGAAGACCAGUGGCGAAGGCGGCCUCCUGGACCAUUACUGACACUCAGACGCGAAAGCUAGGGUAGCAAACG
rnacentral:rRNA from 1 species